rnacentral:rRNA from 1 species
UAGGGAAUCUUCGGCAAUGGGGGCAACCCUGACCGAGCAACGCCGCGUGAGUGAAGAAGGUUUUCGGAUCGUAAAGCUCUGUUGUAAGUCAAGAACGAGUGUGAGAGUGGAAAGUUCACACUGUGACGGUAGCUUACCAGAAAGGGACGGCUAACUACGUGCCAGCAGCCGCGGUAAUACGUAGGUCCCGAGCGUUGUCCGGAUUUAUUGGGCGUAAAGCGAGCGCAGGCGGUUUGAUAAGUCUGGAGUUAAAGGCUGUGGCUCAACCAUAGUUCGCUUUGGAAACUGUCAAACUUGAGUGCAGAAGGGGAGAGUGGAAUUCCAUGUGUAGCGGUGAAAUGCGUAGAUAUAUGGAGGAACACCGGUGGCGAAAGCGGCUCUCUGGUCUGUAACUGACGCUGAGGCUCGAAAGCGUGGGGAGCGAACAGGAUUAGAUACCCUGGUAGUCCACGCCGUAAACGACGAGUGCUAGGUGUUGGAUCCUUUCCGGGAUUCAGUGCCGCAGCUAACGCAUUAAGCACUCCGCCUGGGGAGUACGACCGCAAGGUUG